GAGUUGAUUCGGCUGAUCUGGCUGGCUAGGCGGGUGUCCCCUUCCUCCCUCACCGCUCCAUGUGCGUCCCUACUGAAGCUGCGCUCUCAGUCGAAGAGGACGACCUUCCCCUAAUAGAGGAGGACCGGUCUUCGGUCAAGGGUAUACGAGUAGCUGUGCUCCCCUGCUAGAACCUCCAAACAAGCUCAAGGUCCAUUUGUAGGAGAACGUUAAAGCAUUUUUUUUUUUCAGAAGAAUUGUUAACAGGAAACAGUAGAUAAUUAUUUCAGCAUAA
rnacentral:snRNA from 1 species